rnacentral:piRNA from 1 species
UCUAGGAACUGGGCUGGAGGUGGUGAGC